UUAUGGCCAUAUCACAUUAAAUCACUGAUUCCUGUACAAUCACCAAAGUUAAGCAACAUUGAGCCUGAUCAGCACCUAGAUGGGUGACCGCUUGGGAAUACUAGUUACCGUAAG